GACGAACGCUGGCGGCGUGCUUAACACAUGCAAGUCGAGCGGUAAGGCCCCUUCGGGGGUACACGAGCGGCGAACGGGUGCGUAACACGUGAGCAAUCUGCCCAUCACAUCGGGAUAACUCCGGGAAACCGAAGCUAAUACCGAAUACGACCACCUCCGGCAUCGGAUGGUGGUGGAAAGUUCCGGCGGUGAUGGAUGAGCUCGCGGCCUAUCAGCUUGUUGGUGGGGUAACGGCACACCAAGGCUUCGACGGGUAGCCGGCCUGAGAGGGGGACCGGCCACACUGGGACUGAGACACGGCCCAGACUCCUACGGGAGGCAGCAGUGGGGAAUAUUGGACAAUGGGCGAAAGCCUGAUCCAGCAACGCCGCGUGAGGGAUGACGGCCUUCGGGUUGUAAACCUCUUUCAGCAGGGACGAAGCGAAAGUGACGGUACCUGCAGAAGAAGCACCGGCCAACUACGUG
rnacentral:rRNA from 1 species